rnacentral:lncRNA from 1 species
UGCUGUGUUACAUAUUUGUUUUUCGUUCAUUAUUUUGUACAUAAAUUAGUAAGUUUUCUCGUUUUAAUUGUUUAACAUUUGUCUUUUUGGGUAUGUAGUAUGAUAUUCCUCAUUGUUUAAGGCCGCAUGGUGACCUAUAAUUAUUAAUUUCUGUGUCAUUUUGCCUCUUGUGAAGAGUUGUCUCAUUGGCAAUCAUACCACAUCU